CGACUGGAGGCCGGGCAAAGGAAUGGCUUCCCACUUGAUUCAGAGCAGUGAGAAAAGGAGCCUGGAGAGAAGGAUUUCCGCCACCGGAGAAAGGAAACAAGAGAUGUAUACCUCAAACUCUGCCCUGAUUGUAGGGCUCUGUAUUCCAGAAGCUUACAGAACACCUGGGCUGAGGCCAACCAAUGGUCAUCCCUGGGGAGUCAUCAGUUUGGGCUGAUUUUGUAAAACCCUGGACCAUCUGGUCAAGGUUAAAGGUGGUUCUAUUUAGAGAAAAUAAACACGAGUUUGUGUAGCGGG